CUCAUAUCUACCGUCGACACUGCUUGCAAAGCCGGCAAGGCUACACCAAGACUUAGCGAGGAUAAAGUCAAGCAGUGUGUUGAUCCAAAACUUGGAGCAGAAUAUCCACCCAAAGCAAUUGCUAAGGUGUUACUCUUAUUGCUGAAUGAGUUUUAUUUAUUUAUUUUAUUGGUUUUGGAAGUAGGGGUGUCAUUUUCUUGUGUGGAUUGAGCAUGAGUUUGAAUCUGAAAGCUUCGUAUGAUGGUAUAUGC